rnacentral:rRNA from 1 species
UACAGAGGGGGCAAGCGUUGUUCGGAAUUACUGGGCGUAAAGGGCGCGUAGGCGGCGUGUUAAGUCAGCUGUGAAAUCUCCAAGCUUAACUUGGAACGGUCAGCUGAUACUGAUGUGCUAGAGUGCAGAAGGGGCAAUCGGAAUUCUUGGUGUAGCGGUGAAAUGCGUAGAUAUCAAGAGGAACACCUGAGGUGAAGACGGGUUGCUGGGCUGACACUGACGCUGAGGCGCGAAAGCUAGGGUAGCAAACGGG